rnacentral:rRNA from 1 species
ACUCCUACGGGAGGCAGCAGUGGGGAAUAUUGCACAAUGGGCGCAAGCCUGAUGCAGCAACGCCGCGUGAGGGACGACGGCCUUCGGGUUGUAAACCUCUUUUAGCAGGGAAGAAGCGAAAGUGACGGUACCUGCAGAAAAAGCACCGGCUAACUACGUGCCAGCAGCCGCGGUAAUA